rnacentral:rRNA from 1 species
AGCAGUCGCCGCGGUAAUACGUAGGGUGCAAGCGUUGUCCGGAAUUAUUGGGCGUAAAGAGCUCGUAGGCGGUUUGUCGCGUCUGCUGUGAAAUCCCGAGGCUCAACCUCGGGCUUGCAGUGGGUACGGGCAGACUAGAGUGCGGUAGGGGAGAUUGGAAUUCCUGGUGUAGCGGUGGAAUGCGCAGAUAUCAGGAGGAACACCGAUGGCGAAGGCAGAUCUCUGGGCCGUAACUGACGCUGAGGAGCGAAAGCGUGGGGAGCGAACAGGAUUAGAUACCCCAGUAGUCCCUGUCUCUUAUAA